rnacentral:rRNA from 1 species
UACAGAGGGUGCGAGCGUUGUCCGGAAUCACUGGGCGUAAAGAGCUCGUAGGCGGCUUGUCACGUCGGGUGUGAAAGCCCGGGGCUUAACCCCGGGUCUGCAUUCGAUACGGGCUAGCUAGAGUGUGGUAGGGGGAGAUCGGAAUUCCUGGUGUAGCGGUGAAAUGCGCAGAUAUCAGGAGGAACACCGGUGGCGAAGGCGGAUCUCUGGGCCAUUACUGACGCUGAGGAGCGAAAGCGUGGGGAGCGAACAGG